rnacentral:tRNA from 1 species
UUGGCCGUAGCUUCAAAUGGUAGAGCGCUGCACUGUGAAUGCAGAACGUUGCGGGUUCGAAUCCCGUCGGCCGAC